rnacentral:lncRNA from 1 species
GAGAAGAUUGCUGGAGCUUAAAAACGGGCAGCAGGCGACACUAAGUGCACUUACUUAGUGCUUUGAGACGAUCAGAAGUUGGUUUUUGCUCUGUAACUGUCUUUGCUUGAGCAUAGUCUUCCUCGGUGCUUCCUCUUUGGUUGGCUCUGUGCCGGACCUCAGCUGUGAAGGUGCAUCUAUUUGUCUUUUGACAGUUGUUCCCUGUACCCAUCAAUUCAGGUAACUUAGAUCAGCUCUGGCUUAAUACUAUUAAAUGGAGAAGCCCCCAAAGAAGCAAAUCUUAACAUUUAAGUGGCAUGCUCUUCUAAGUCGUGUGAUGACAGCUGUGACAUCCUGCUCCACCUGGCCUGGAUCACUUUGUCCAGUGUAUUCACAUUGAAUUUUCUACCUGUUCGUUCCUCAUGUAGCAAUUUCCUUGUUACUAGAUCACUAUCAUAGUACUGUGUGCUACACAGUAAGUUUGAUGAUAUCUUGGAUUAUAGAAUUAAUUCCAGAGGCAGGUGAAUCUCUCAGUUCAAGGCCAGCCUGGUGGUCUACAGAGUGAGUUCCAAGACAGCCAGGGCUAUACAGGGCUAUACCCUGUCUCGAAAAACAAAACAAAACCAAAAACAAACAAACAAACAAAAAACAAAAGCAAAAAAAAUUAAUUCCUGUCCCAACCUUCUCAGAAGAAACAAACACCAAAAGUCUAAGAACUUGUGGCAAAUAUUUAUUACAUUUUAAUGAGGUAGCUUACUUUGUAUCACACGCUGCCACUUAUAAAGCACUAUUUUGUCAUUUACUUUUUGAAGCUAUUCUAAAAAGUCAGGAAAAUUCUCUAAUCAAUCAGUGGUGACUGGGGUUAGUAGUUGGAUAGUAGUUGAAAAAACACACUUAAAAAAAAAACAUAUACAUUUAUUUGUUUACCUUUAGUGUAGACCAAGGCCUGUUCUUUAUGAAUGAGCUAAAUAAACUUCAGCCAUUCUUUUUCCAUAAAACCAAUACUCUGAUUUCCUGUCCUCCCUGAAAGGUUUGUGCAUGUGGAUACAUAUUCACAUGUGUCUUCAUGGGUGUACAUACAUGUGUGUGCAUGUACAUCUAUGUGUAUGUACGUAGAAGGCCAAAAGUAACAUUGGGUGUCUUCUUCAGGCAAUAUCCACAUUAGUUUUUGAGACAGGGUUUCUUUAAACCUGGAGUUUGCUUUUCUGCUAGGCUGGCCAGUCCUCUUGCCUCUGCCCAGCAUUGGGGUUAUAGACAUGUGCUGCACCCCCAUUUUAAUGUGAGUUCUAGGGAUCAUGCUUGCAUGGAAGUCACCUCACCCACUGAGUCUUCUCCUUGGCCUCUAAACAUUUUAUUUCUAAGGAGAUCAAUAAUGUAGAGAACAGUGUAGACUUGCCUUUACCCACUUUCUGUGGCUGUUUCUUCUACAUCUAGUCAUUUAGUGUUUCAUUUACUGUUUUAGUCUUGCCAUGUCAUAGAAACGUAAUUUUGAAUCUUGCCACAAUAUGCAACUUUUACUGAUGCAAUCUGCGUUGAACUUGUUUGUAGACAUUUUGAUUAAACUGCCUAUGUAAAAAUAAGUACAACUGGCACAGUAGAUUUAGAAUAAAACAUCCCGUUGAGAGUGAGCUAUGGCUGGGCAUGUCUCCCCUCAGUCAUCAAGUAAAAGGUAAGGACGUCUUUCUUCUAGCAGUUGAAUGGAGGGGUAGAACUUGUGUGAGAAGCUGCUGAUACGAUGGGUUACUUCUGUCAGCUGAGAGAGAAGCACAGAGGCACUCCUCAUGUAAGUGGUAAAAUGGUGUUCAUUUAUAGGCUGCCCUGGAAUUUAACUGCAGGCUGCUGUCUGUAAGUCCAGUGGAUUUGUUGUGCAUUGCUCCUAUGUCCAGUAGAACUCUUGAUGGGUACUUUGUAUAACACCACCCAUUCUUGAAAAAAAAUGCAUAUUGGGUUGAGGAAGGUUCUUCUGGAGACUACCCAAAGGGUUCUGUUAAAAGAAUAUCUGCAAAUAACCUUAUUUACAGUACUAUCAUACUCAGCCAGGACUAUAGUGGUUUCUUAAGCUAGAAGUAGGUAUAUUUUCAGGCCACUCCAAAAUAAAUGUAGAAUUUUAAGACUUCAUUCAUUAUAUAUCACAUAUUUAUGCAUAUAUAUUAUACAUUGCAUAUUUUUGUAUUAUUUUGGUGGGACAUAGUACAGAUUUAAAAGCCAACAGAGUGGCCUUUCUUUUUAAAGAUUAUCCAGUGGAUUUCGGAGCAUGUCUCUGCUUGCCAUUCAUUUGACCUCAUUCAAGAAUUUCUAAUUGGUAAGUGUUGCUGAUGCUGCACUGUAAGCUGUAUGUUCAACCCUUCGCUUGAGGGAAAUCAGUAAGUUGAUAAUGAGUGCUUCUGUCAAAAUGCUGAUUAGGAGGUUUUGUUUUUUUUUUUGUUUUUUGUUUUUUUUUAACUUCAUUGCAAUCAGUGGCUAAUGAAAUUUCAUUCUCUUGUGGAUUUUGCAAAAAGUUGUGGUUUCCAGAGACCAAUGAGAUAAAGAUCAGAUUUUGAUUCUAUAACCUUAUUAACAAAAAUUUCAGUAAAAUGCAUCUUUCUUAGCCUGGUUUUAUAUUGGUUGGCUAUGUAUGACUGGCAUCAUGUCAUCUGUGUGGAAACAGAACCAAAUGAUUGAAAAAUGCUAUUCUCAUUGUAAAAGGAGCACCUGAACAUUUUAAGCUGUAGAUAAAAUCAUAAUGGUUAACCCCCAGAGACAUGAAUGAGGUGGUGAGAACUCACGGUUUGCUGGAUUUGGUUAAAUCACUAUGCCGACUUCUCUGUUUCUAAUGUCUCAGCUUCCUCCUAUUGGAGUGUGUAUGCAGAGCUGGACGACAUGGGCAUGCUCCUACAAUACUCCUCUGUGCUGACUUGGAACACAGAAAUUCCCGGAAUAAAGUUUACGACAGAGGAACUCCCAUUGCCUCUUAUGAAGGUGAGUCCCGCUCCAAGAGGGUGAAGCAGUCAUGUCGAGAAGACCUCUGCUGCCCCAGAUAUUACUGUGGUUUCAAAAGGUAUUGCAGCCUGGCAGAGAAAGAUGGAGCCUUGGGGGAGAUCAGCUUGCCUGAGAGUCCUUCUGAAGAGCCUGCGUAAUCAAUUGCUAAUGUGAUGUUAUAUAACACCUUAGGACUGUUUGAGAAGGGAGGUUUUUGAAGAUAGAGAAUUACCCUGGAUCAUCCACCAAUACUUGUCAUAAAGCCUCUUACUGAAGGAGCUCUUGGAACGUCUUUAGUGAGGCUGGAAUUCAUUGUUGCCUGAUUUGUAGUCCUUCCUUCAAACACACACACACACACACACACACACACACACACACACACACACAAUUUCUACUUAUAAAAUCUUUAAGUAAACUGG